CCUCCCGACUGUUCUCCUCUGGGCCUCGCCCCCAUACAGGCACACCACCCCAAGUCCAGGCCCCUCCCCACUGCCCGACUCAGCCCCCUCGGAGCCCCGCCUCUAGGCCUGACUCCGCCCCUUACGCUGGCUGCUGCAGCGUCCCUUGGACCCACCUCAGAUGCUUGCUCCGCAAGUCGAAGGCACGGGAGACUCCUAGUUCCCCCCACACCACAAGAAUCAGUACCAGCGCCACCCCAACCCCCGGCCUUGCAGUCGGUGCCCAUCCCUGAAGAGGAGUAACGACCGCGUUGGAGACCCAGGUUCGAUCCCUGAUCUGGGAAGAUCCCACAUGCCACGGAGCAACUAAGUUCGUGCACCACGACUAUUGAGCCUGUGCUCUACAGCCCCAGAGCUGCAAAUGCUGAGGCUGGCGCGCCCUGGAGCCCACACUCCACAAGGAAGCCACCACAGUGAGAAGCCUGUACCCUGCAACCCGAGAGUAGCCCCCGCUGCUCUCAGAGAAAAACCCACGCAGCAACAAAGAUCCAGCACAGCCAAAAUAAAUUACUUUAAACAAAAA